AGGGCACCACCAGGAGCGGAGCCUGCGGCUUAAUUUGACUCAACACGGGAAAACUCACCCGGCCCGGACACUGGAAGGAUUGACAGAUUGAGAGCUCUUUCUUGAUUCAGUGGGUGGUGGUGCAUGGCCGUUCUUAGUUGGUGGAGUGAUUUGUCUGGUUAAUUCCGAUAACGAACGAGACUCUAGCCUACUAAAUAGAUCGUCGGCUUACAAACGCCGGCGAGACUUCUUAGAGGGACAGGCGGUGAUUCAACCGCACGAAACAGAGCAAUAACAGGUCUGUGAUGCCCUUAGAUGUCCGGGGCCGCACGCGCGCUACACUGAAGUGAUCAGCGUGCUUUUUCAACCUACUCUGUCAAGAGUGGGGAACCCAAUGAACCUUCUUCGUGAUUGGGAUAGGGGAUUGUAAUUAUUCCCCUUGAACGAGGAAUUCCCAGUAAGCGCGAGUCAUAAGCUCGCGUUGAUUACGUCCCUGCCCUUUGUACACACCGCCCGUCGCUACUACCGAUUGAAUGUUUU
rnacentral:rRNA from 1 species